AUGAAGGACUUGGAAGAUGCUUCAUGGCUAAAGGCCCAAAGCUUAUUGAAGGGAAUCAUAGAGAAAGGUGUUUACAAGGGCCUUGCCGGGAGUAAGCAAUUUGAGGAAAUUGUAUGCAAGCAAGGAAGGCACUGGAAGAACCAAUGUGUUGGUUUUGAACGAAAGUUCAAUGCCAAUGGAGUUGAGUGGGAAGAAGAUCAAUAUCCCAAGAUGAAGUUUGUUCCUCAACAAGAGAAGUAUGAUCCUACUUCCUUCAAAGGGACACAAGCUCAAGAUGAUCUUCCACCACAAGACCACAAGCAAAAAGGCAAGGAUAAGCUUCAAGAGGAGAUUGUUGCAUUUGAAGAAGCUCCUAAGGCCUUGGUCAAGUGGGUUCCCAAGACUACAUCAAGUUCUACUUCAUCAAGUACGACUACAACUCCAAGGAUUCCCAUCAAGAUGAUGUCGAUCCCAAAGAAGAAGAAUUAG
rnacentral:rRNA from 1 species